GGCCAUUUGGAAGCAUUGGGGACUUUGGGGUCAUUAGGGCCCAUUGGGGCUUUGGGGGCCUUUGGGGGGCAUUGGGGCCAUUUGGAAGCAUUGGGGGCUUUUGGGGCAUUGGGGUUUUUUGGGGGGCUCUGGGUCAUUGGGGUCAUUGGAGGCUUUGGGGCUCUUAGGGGCAUUGGGGCCAUUUGGAAGCAUUGGAAGCAUUGGGGACUUUGGGGGCAUUAGGGCCCAUUGGGGGCUUUGGGGGCCUUUGGGGCAUUGGGGUUUUUUGGGGGGCUCUGGGGUCAUUGGGGUCAUUGGAGGCUUUGGGGCUCUUAGGGGCAUUGGGGCCAUUUGGAAGCAUUGGGGGCUUUGGGGGCCUUUGGGGCAUUGGUGUCCCUUGGGGCCCAUUGGGGGCUUUGGGGCUUUUAGGGGCAUUGGGGGCUUUGGGGGCCUUUGGGGCAUUGGUGUCCCUUGGGGCCCAUUAGGGGCUUUGGGGCUUUUAGGGGCAUUAGGGCCAAUUGGGGACUUUGGGGGCAUUAGGGGGCAUUGGGGUUUUUUGGGGGGCUCUGGGUCAUUGGGGCCCUUUGGGGUCAUUGGAGGCUUUGAGGGCAUUAGGGCUCUUAGGGGCAUUGGGGC
rnacentral:lncRNA from 1 species